ACGUAUUGCUCUGUUUCUUCGGUAAUCUCAAGUCUGAAUAUCCUCCGAUAUGACAUUCCCUCACGGCGGCGUCGGGGCGGAUGGCGCGUUCGAGCCGACGCCGUUGUCUUCCCUCCCCCCUUUUCUCCCUCUCCUCUCCCUCCUACCUCACCUUGUGGCAGCGCCGCCGGGGGCAGGACGGACGAGGCGCCCGUCGGAGCCGGCACAGGUGCUCCCUUCCUCCUUCUCCCUUCACUUGCGCCGGCGGCGGCGGUUGCGACGAGGGAGGACAGAUGCGGCGCCCGUCGUUGGUGUUGCCGCCGACCCGCCGUGUCCCCUCCCUUCUUCUCCCUCCCCUUCUGGCAGCGGCGGCGAGGGACCUGCAGUGGCGGCAGCCUUCUCCGCUCGUCUCUCUCCUAUCCGUCUCCUACAGUCGUCGUCCUCCGGCCACCGCCGUCCUCUGCCAGCACCUCCUCCGGCCCCCUCCACUCUGCCCAUCCGCUCCACUCUUCCCUCCUACCCAAAUCUACGGCGCCGCUCCGUGGUCGGCAGCUCAAUUCCUCGCCGGAUCUGACAGUUUGACCGGUGGAGAAGGAAGAAGCGGGCGGCCCGCGAGGAUGGAGGAAGCGGAUUGGCAGAAGUUGGCCGUUGAGAUCUCCGUCAAACCUGUCCCCUUCAAGCAUCCGGGUCCGACAUCCUCUGCGCAUGGUCUGUGACAGCUUGGUAUAAUGAAGAAUUAGAAAGGAUUCAGUUCUCUCCUUCCUGUUCUAUUCUUUCAGCAAUGGUUCAGGUCAACAAAAAAAUUUUGGUCGAGCAACAAAGGUUCAGUUCUUAUCCUUCCAGUUCUCCUUUUGUCUUGAAUGUUCUUGAAGAAGCUAUAAGUGGAACAGAUACAUUGAGAUCGCUCCCAGUUGGAUCAUCAGCAGCAGGAAAGGUUCCGCCACUACCAGUGUUAUGAUCUUGUUUAUAAUGGGAUGGCUACCACAUAUAUUUUUCUAUUUAUAGGUUGACAAGAAAUGUGCUCUUUUUUUUAUGGUGUAACAAUAAGUGAAGAACAAGCUCGGUCAGGCAUUGUAGUCAGAGUCACCUCAGCCGCACAAAGUAAAUUUAAGAUAUGAGCUACUUUUCUUCGAACAAGAAAUUGAUGGAGGUUAUGGACUAGCUCCGCAGGCAUCCAAGCUGAGGUGAAUCACAUGAGACAAAAUGGCAGUCUUGCUUUCAAUGAAAGCCUUGUUGCUGGUAUAUUUCUUCAUUUUGCCAGUGCAAGACCCACACUGGUCUUCCAGACCACGGAAUGGUAGUGCAUCAAUAGGGCUGCAGCAGGGUGACACACCAGCACCACGGUUAUUGGAUUCAGGAGUUUGCCAAGAAGCAGCAAUUAAAUGAUUAGCUUCCACCUUUAAUUUUGCUGGCAGGUGUUAUCCCAGGCUUCAUGGACAACUCCGUCGCCUUGAGGAAAUGAGCCUCCUCCAUCCCUCCAUAUGUAUUUCCUCCUCUGCUCUGUACUGCUUUGCUCUGCCUCAUGCUUGCUGUCAUGUGGAUGUGCUGCUGCUGACCAAUACUAGCUUAUUGCAGUUUUCCUUUUUUGUUCAGGCCAUUGCAUUGCCUCUGAAUCUUACUUUUUUUGCGGGGCCUCUGAAUCUUACUUACUUUUCAGUGCUAUAUACAGAUUCAGUUACAGGACACAUAGUUCCUGGAGAUGAAACAAGGUGUUUAGUGCGUAUUACAUUUACCAUUUAGGAUUUACAUAGCAUCAUUCACACCUGAUUAGCAUAAGUUCCAGAUAAUAUUUUAUUAUCCCCUUUGAUGUUUAAGAUGGUUGCCUCUUCAGUAUCACAUCUGGAUCCAUAGCAAUUUCAUUUCUAUCGCUUUACUUCUCCGUGCAGGGAAAAUAGACUGCACCAAGCAUCAGUUAACGUACAUUCAGCAUAAGAGAGUUAAGCCCACUACCUAGCCGGCUCUUUGUUGCCAACUUAUUGUGACUACUUUCGAUUUUGGUGCAGUAGUUUUGGUUAGUGACUAUUAUAUCAUUUUUUCUUAAAAUAAGGUCCCACAUUAUGGCUAGGUGUUGCCGCGAGGGUUGUGAAUGUUCUUUACUUCUGAUAAAAGUGAAGUGAUAUUUGUGUAGGUGAUGACAAAAGCUACAAUUAUUCAGGGCUGUCAUUCUCUCCUGCAGGACCAAAGCUGCCAUUCAUACUGCUGUGCUUUUGUUGUGGAUUGAACUAGCAGGAGAGAAGAAUGCACAUGAACUUAUAAAUGGACCAUUUCCGGUAGCCACGAGUUCUCACUAGAAAAAGGCAGCUACUUUAUUUGUCCUGUAUAUUAGUAUAUUGUUUAUUAAUCAAUGUAAAUGAUCACUGACGGAGUACAUGUAUAUGCAUUAAUCACCUAAUCGUUCUGUAAUAUUUUCUGUUUAAUUUUUUUUGCUGCGCGGCGUAGCGCGCAAACCCUUUCUAGUAAUAGUAAUGUUAACUUUGAUUACUGGAUAUAUGUGGCAUUGAUGAAAGGUGGAGAUAUGGGAUCAUGAUCUAAAAAUUGAAA